GGGUUGUGAGGUUAAGCGACUAAGCGUACACGGUGGAUGCCCUGGCAGUCAGAGGCGAUGAAGGACGUGCUAAUCUGCGAUAAGCGUCGGUAAGGUGAUAUGAACCGUUAUAACCGGCGAUUUCCGAAUGGGGAAACCCAGUGUGAUUCGUCACACUAUCAUUAACUGAAUCCAUAGGUUAAUGAGGCGAACCGGGGGAACUGAAACAUCUAAGUACCCCGAGGAAAAGAAAUCAACCGAGAUUCCCCCAGUAGCGGCGAGCGAACGGGGAGCAGCCCAGAGCCUGAAUCAGUGUGUGUGUUAGUGGAAGCGUCUGGAAAGGCGCGCGAUACAGGGUGACAGCCCCGUACACAAAAAUGCACAUGCUGUGAGCUCGAUGAGUAGGGCGGGACACGUGGUAUCCUGUCUGAAUAUGGGGGGACCAUCCUCCAAGGCUAAAUACUCCUGACUGACCGAUAGUAAACCAGUACCGUGAGGGAAAGGCGAAAAGAACCCCGGCGAGGGGAGUGAAAAAGAACCUGAAACCGUGUACGUACAAGCAGUGGGAGCACGCUUAGGCGUGUGACUGCGUACCUUUUGUAUAAUGGGUCAGCGACUUAUAUUCUGUAGCAAGGUUAACCGAAUAGGGGAGCCGAAGGGAAACCGAGUCUUAACUGGGCGUUAAGUUGCAGGGUAUAGACCCGAAACCCGGUGAUCUAGCCAUGGGCAGGUUGAAGGUUGGGUAACACUAACUGGAGGACCGAACCGACUAAUGUUGAAAAAUUAGCGGAUGACUUGUGGCUGGGGGUGAAAGGCCAAUCAAACCGGGAGAUAGCUGGUUCUCCCCGAAAGCUAUUUAGGUAGCGCCUCGUGAAUUCAUCUCCGGGGGUAGAGCACUGUUUCGGCAAGGGGGUCAUCCCGACUUACCAACCCGAUGCAAACUGCGAAUACCGGAGAAUGUUAUCACGGGAGACACACGGCGGGUGCUAACGUCCGUCGUGAAGAGGGAAACAACCCAGACCGCCAGCUAAGGUCCCAAAGUCAUGGUUAAGUGGGAAACGAUGUGGGAAGGCCCAGACAGCCAGGAUGUUGGCUUAGAAGCAGCCAUCAUUUAAAGAAAGCGUAAUAGCUCACUGGUCGAGUCGGCCUGCGCGGAAGAUGUAACGGGGCUAAACCAUGCACCGAAGCUGCGGCAGCGACGCUGAUGCGUUGUUGGGUAGGGGAGCGUUCUGUAAGCCUGCGAAGGUGUGCUGUGAGGCAUGCUGGAGGUAUCAGAAGUGCGAAUGCUGACAUAAGUAACGAUAAAGCGGGUGAAAAGCCCGCUCGCCGGAAGACCAAGGGUUCCUGUCCAACGUUAAUCGGGGCAGGGUGAGUCGACCCCUAAGGCGAGGCCGAAAGGCGUAGUCGAUGGGAAACAGGUUAAUAUUCCUGUACUUGGUGUUACUGCGAAGGGGGGACGGAGAAGGCUAUGUUGGCCGGGCGACGGUUGUCCCGGUUUAAGCGUGUAGGCUGGUUUUCCAGGCAAAUCCGGAAAAUCAAGGCUGAGGCGUGAUGACGAGGCACUACGGUGCUGAAGCAACAAAUGCCCUGCUUCCAGGAAAAGCCUCUAAGCAUCAGGUAACAUCAAAUCGUACCCCAAACCGACACAGGUGGUCAGGUAGAGAAUACCAAGGCGCUUGAGAGAACUCGGGUGAAGGAACUAGGCAAAAUGGUGCCGUAACUUCGGGAGAAGGCACGCUGAUAUGUAGGUGAAGUCCCUCGCGGAUGGAGCUGAAAUCAGUCGAAGAUACCAGCUGGCUGCAACUGUUUAUUAAAAACACAGCACUGUGCAAACACGAAAGUGGACGUAUACGGUGUGACGCCUGCCCGGUGCCGGAAGGUUAAUUGAUGGGGUUAGCGCAAGCGAAGCUCUUGAUCGAAGCCCCGGUAAACGGCGGCCGUAACUAUAACGGUCCUAAGGUAGCGAAAUUCCUUGUCGGGUAAGUUCCGACCUGCACGAAUGGCGUAAUGAUGGCCAGGCUGUCUCCACCCGAGACUCAGUGAAAUUGAACUCGCUGUGAAGAUGCAGUGUACCCGCGGCAAGACGGAAAGACCCCGUGAACCUUUACUAUAGCUUGACACUGAACAUUGAGCCUUGAUGUGUAGGAUAGGUGGGAGGCUUUGAAGUGUGGACGCCAGUCUGCAUGGAGCCGACCUUGAAAUACCACCCUUUAAUGUUUGAUGUUCUAACGUGGACCCGUAAUCCGGGUUGCGGACAGUGUCUGGUGGGUAGUUUGACUGGGGCGGUCUCCUCCUAAAGAGUAACGGAGGAGCACGAAGGUUGGCUAAUCCUGGUCGGACAUCAGGAGGUUAGUGCAAUGGCAUAAGCCAGCUUGACUGCGAGCGUGACGGCGCGAGCAGGUGCGAAAGCAGGUCAUAGUGAUCCGGUGGUUCUGAAUGGAAGGGCCAUCGCUCAACGGAUAAAAGGUACUCCGGGGAUAACAGGCUGAUACCGCCCAAGAGUUCAUAUCGACGGCGGUGUUUGGCACCUCGAUGUCGGCUCAUCACAUCCUGGGGCUGAAGUAGGUCCCAAGGGUAUGGCUGUUCGCCAUUUAAAGUGGUACGCGAGCUGGGUUUAGAACGUCGUGAGACAGUUCGGUCCCUAUCUGCCGUGGGCGCUGGAGAAUUGAGGGGGGCUGCUCCUAGUACGAGAGGACCGGAGUGGACGCAUCACUGGUGUUCGGGUUGUCAUGCCAAUGGCACUGCCCGGUAGCUAAAUGCGGAAGAGAUAAGUGCUGAAAGCAUCUAAGCACGAAACUUGCCCCGAGAUGAGUUCUCCCUGACUCCUUGAGAGUCCUGAAGGAACGUUGAAGACGACGACGUUGAUAGGCCGGGUGUGUAAGCGCAGCGAUGCGUUGAGCUAACCGGUACUAAUGAACCGUGAGGCUUAACCUUACAACGCCGAAG
rnacentral:rRNA from 1 species